GCCUUGCCCAUAUUAACACAUUUGGGCCCAUUUCAAUACGGCUGGUCCACAACAAAAUAGUCUCAUAUGAUUAAUGCAUGAUAACCCCAUCAACCCUGCACUUGCCUCUGUCUAUCCCUACACUUCCUAUGGAGAAUAAAUCACCCACGCCAUCCCUACACUUACAGUGUUAGCACCGAUUGCGGCACUAACUAUAAUCC
rnacentral:lncRNA from 1 species